rnacentral:sRNA from 1 species
AAGUAGUGUAAGGGACGUAGUUCUAAAACAUUUAACAUACAAUGUUGGGUAUGUUUGGAUUUACCUCCCUUACACUACUU